AUGUAUAUCGUGAGAUAGUCCAUAAGCAAGCAGAUCUUCAAACAAAACAACAACAAGCUACAACCGUCAGCUGAAAACUUCUCGCAUCACCAAACGCAAACAUCGGCGGAGAAAAUGUACAUCAUUCGCUCCGUGGAAUACAACGACCAAUUCGAAUGUACGCCCAUGCAGCCACCCAACGGGAAAUAUAAAAGCCUUUCGUGACAGUGACAGUUGACAUCGGAUCGGACAAACGUCAGGGCCACUUGCCAGGCGCUGCCGGUCCCGCCACUCGUUGAAGCUCUUUUUGUGAAUCAGCUUGAGUCGCCGCCAGGCGGAGUGCAAUCAGUUUCCUCUUGGUGCACGUUUUUUUGUAAAAGUGGCCGGAAAAGAUUAUCUUCGGCCCGAUUGCUAAGGAAGGCAAAAGCUCUAGCUAGGAAGACAGCUAGAGCAAAUUCGGGAACAAUCAUCGAUUUUAAACAACAGCUGGUGACGACCGCCGUGACCAAAAUUUGCAAAAAGGGCUGUGGCUGUGGGAGGAAGGAAGUUGGCGAACAGUGAGAUCGGCACAAAACAAGCGACUAGAAGCUUCGACGAGCUCUUCGCACGUAGACGGAAAAGGGAAGGCAGAAACGCACCGCGUGGUAAUCAAGUCGGUUCCUGAACCCCAGCUCGGCACAGCCGCACGAAGGUCAAAGAUCCAGCGAAUUCGAUCACAAAUUAACAUCCGGAGAAAGCAAGAACCCCACAGGGGUUCUUUGUCCGGACUCGAGUUUUUCAUAGGCCGAUACGAGACGCACGUGGCCGCCAGAUUCGCCGACGUUUGAUUCCGGUCCGUCUGACUUUGGCGCCAGAGUGGAUCGGAUUUGAGUUCAGUGGCAGAAGGAGGAACGCUGACGAAAGGUACGCAGCAACAUAGACAGGCAAAGAUCCCGCGCCUCGGAGGGACCCCAUCCAGUCUACUGGUCGUACUGGACGGCCAGAGGGGUCUCCAGCAGGGGAAGUUCGCGGGGUGCGCGUUGCAAGCGGCGAAGGAAAAGAUCGCAGAGAAGCUGUACAGGGGGACGCCCCUUUAGAAGAGUGAAGAUGAACAGUGAGUAGAGCGAGAAUGUUAGAAUUAAGUAGAGAAGAAUAAGCGCUGGGUAGGUAGGGAGACAAGCUAGGGCGAAUGCCCAAAAUAUAUGUAUAAAAUGUGCAUUGAUGGUGUUUUGAUUGUUGGUGCUAUAGCCCUCCAGUUUG